rnacentral:rRNA from 1 species
GGCUCUUGCAUCGAUGAAGAACGCAACGAAAAUGCGAUACGUGGUGCGAAUUGCAGAAUCCCGCGAACCAUCGAAUUUUUGAACGCAAGUUGCGCCUGAAGCCAACUGGCCAAGGGCACGUCCGCCUGGGCGUCAUGCAUUACGUCGCUCCGUCCA